rnacentral:lncRNA from 1 species
GCACAAUCUCAGGUGCACUUGUUCUAAAACCUCAAUUUUAUAUUUAUCCUUUAAAUCCACUACUUGACUUAAAAAAUCUUAUGGAUGGAGUUUUGACUUAUUAAGUCGUUAAUAGAAAAUAGUUAAGAUUACAUAUUAUAGAAUAUAUAGCAUAGUCAUAUAUUGGCACACAGCGUGCUUGACCGAAGGAUUGAUAGAACUUGGGUUGGCAUGAGCUCAUGUCUCCUUGAUAUAGUGAUAUGACUUUGCUUAAACUUUUAUGUUACCAUUCAUUUGUUGAUUACAUAUUUUACAUAAUAUGAUUUAUUUUAUAUAUAAAUUUCAAUAUCUAUAGUAUUAGUAAACGUUGCUCUGCACCUUUCGCAACGGUCUUUAAUAAUAUUGCUAACCAAAUAUUAUAGAUGGUAAUAAAAACACCAAGGAUGUUUAUCCAUCAAAGGCCCAAACAUAUAUAAAUAACUAAAGCACAAGUUGUAAAUGCUGAGCUAUUUUCUAGACAAGUUAUAAGUUACAGGUCAGAAAUUAAAUUUUGAUGGUUUAUUGCAGCUGAUCAAUUUGCAGAGCAAAUCCAUAUUUAAGGAUUUAAAGCAAAAACCUCAAAUAAGAGCACAUUGAAGGCACACAUUUGUAGGAAUUAGAAUAGGUCAGAAGUUAUAUUUCGAUUUACAAGCAGUUUUUUCUAUGAAAAUUUAAUUAUUUCUCUAAAUCCUGCUAUGUGAGAUGAGGAUACCUUAUAUUCAUUAAAUUGAUUGUGCUCAUAUUAGGGCUGACGGUAUAACUUAGUUAACUUGAUUUCUUGA